rnacentral:lncRNA from 1 species
UCUAUUCACCCUUGACUCUGCUCAUCAGUAAGGAAUGACCAAAGACGUGGAGGGGAAUGAGUCCCCCCAUGGACCAGCUUUAUCAGAAGUGGAAAUAUGUGUUUAUAAGGUGCCCAAAGGAGAUUCGCGGGGACCCAUUAGGACUUUCUUCCGAGGUGAGAUCAAAGGGUCCGUGAGCGUGCCUGCUUGUCUUUUUCUGACAAAGCAAACUUCCCAACAUCUGUUCUGGCCGCCGGACGGACAGCCCGGCUAUCAAGAGGCUGCAGACCCGCCGGACUUUCCGGGCGGAUUUUCACACCCUGCCCUCCCCGGGCGGAGGUAAGAGUUGAGCUGAAGAAACGCGAGGCCCGGGUCUAGAGGCUGAAGAUACACCGGCAAAGCGAGCAGGCCUGCGCUGGUUCCCAUCCCACCAACCGGCACACACCUGGAGCGUGACGUCAUGCUGUUGACAAAGUGACGCAUCCCCAGGUACCAGGGUGGGCUUCUGUCUUCUAGAAACCAGCGAUAUGAAUCCCACCUGCACAGCUCGAAGAAUCUCUCCACGUGGACAUCCCCGAAGUCACCAGCAUCCUGCUCUACCUUCAGAAAUUCAGAUUAUCUCUCUGACCCUUGGAAGCUGCUUUUGGCUCUGUACCUGUUUCCUGGGGGUUUAAGUAAAGUUUGUUUAGUCGCUAAGUCGUCUCCAACUCUUUCCUAACCCAUGGAAAGACAUGGAGGUUAGGAGCCUGUAGCCAGCCAGGCUCCUUUGUCCCUGGAAUUUCCCAGGCAAGAAUACUGGAGUGGGUCGCCACUUCCUUCUCCAGGAGAUCUCCCUGACCCAGGGAUUGAACCUGUGUCUUCUUCAUUGGCAGGUGAAUUUUUUUUUAGCACUAAACCACCUGGGAAGCCCCUGGUUUACCACUUUGGGGCUGUGUUUUCUUUUAUUUCAAUUUUAAUUUUAUAAUGGAGUAUAAUAUUGUGUUAGUUUUAGAUGUAGAACAAAGUGAUUCAAAUAGAUUCAUAUACAUGUAUCCUUUCUCAAAUUCUUUUCCCAUGUAGAUUAUUACAGAAUAUUGAGCAGAGUUCCCUGUGCCAUACAGAGGGUCUUUGUUGGUUAUCUAUUUUAUAGAUAGAUAUAAAAUGGGUAGCAACUGUGUUUUCUUAUUCUACAGUCUUGAGUUCCUCUCCAAGAUUUGUUCCAGAGGCCCUGGGAAGGAGUGUGGGUCUAUAUGUCUGCUCUGUAUGUGUGUC